rnacentral:misc_RNA from 1 species
CAACCAAUGAAAGCCAAUCUAUACGAUUCAUCCCAUCCCUUGCAAAAUUUAUCCCAAGAGCUGGCUCUGGGAGUUCAGGUGGAACUUCGUCAGCUGGAAGAUUGACUUCCCAUGUUUCGUUCGGAUGUCCAUACAGACACAAAUUUUCCUUUUCUGGAUCACACAUAUGAGAAAACUCUUCCACAUCAUAAGUUAAAGCACGAAGUAUCCCAGCACGACGAGCACUAUAAUCUUUGAAGAUCUCUUCUACAGUCCUUGGAGUAGAAGAAAUUGAAGCCAUAUUUCUCCAAAUAAAUAAAAAUCAAACUGAAAUUAUCGCUAACAACUAAAGAGGAAAAUUGAG